GUCCACGCCGUAAACGGUGAGAGCUCGUCGUCGCGGGUAUUGACCCCUGCGGUGACCAAGUUAACGCAUGAAGCUCUCCGCCUGGGAAGUACGGUCGCAAGACUAAAACUCAAAGAAAUUGACGGGGGCCCGCACAAGCGGUGGAGCAUGUUGUUUAAUUCGAAGCAACGCGCAGAACCUUACCUGGAUUUGACAUCUCGGGAAGUUCUCUGAAAAGAGAAUGUGCCUUCGGGAACCCGAUGACAGGUGCUGCAUGGCU
rnacentral:rRNA from 1 species